GGGAUGUAGCUCAAAUGGUAGAGCGCUCGCUUCGCAUGCGAGAGGCAAUGGGAUCGAUGCCCAUCUUCUCC
rnacentral:ncRNA from 14 species